rnacentral:tRNA from 1 species
AGAGGUAUAGCUCAGUGGUAGAGCUCAUGCUUAUCAUGUGCAAGGUCAUGGGUUCGAUUCCCAGUAUCUCCA